GGGAUCGAACCCAUGUUCUGCAUUGGAAGGCAGAUUCUUAACCACUGGACCACCAGGGAAGUCCCAGCUAUUUCUUAAUAAGGUCAAAUACCUGAACUGUGUUCAAUUAUGUGACAGAUGGACCCAAUUGUUUCUCUUUUUAUUUUUUUAACCAUUGGUUUGCUUGAAAUUGGUAUCCGACAAGGUCCAUAUAUUGCAUUUGGUUGUUAUUUGUCUGUUUUAAUCUCUAAGUUCCCCCUCCGUUUUCCCUUUAAAUUAAUUAUGUAAGAAAUCUAGUUGUUUUGUCAUAUAGCGUUUCUUCCCACAUUCUGAAUUUUGUUGAUUGUAUCACUGUAAAGUAAUUUAACUUGUUUUUAUACUCCCUCUAUAGCCUGUAAACAGAUCGGCUUGAUCAGAUUCCGGUUCAGUCUAUUUAAUGCCCUCUCUUGAAUCAUACUACACAGAUGCCCAGAACUUCCAGAUUUGAGUCCCCACUGUAUUCCCCAAAGAAUGUGUAUCUCCUAUCAUAAGUGGCAUAUGAAGACCAUGGACCUACUUCAGUAAGAACAAUGGAUACAGACAUUUACAAGAUUGUGGUGACCUGUGUUACGGUUAGAAGUUGGUGAGAAAGGUUCCCUAAUUUUGAGAAUAUGUCUCUCAAGGCUCUUCAGGAAACUCAAAAUGUUCAGAUUUCUAAAGGAGUAUCUACUAAAACUGAUUUAUAAGGAGAGAAAAAACAGAAAAUGUAUGUAUGCAUCCUGUGUCAAUAUAACCAUCACUUCUGAGGUCUCAAGCAAUCAGAAACUUACUCAAAUUAUUCAAUAACCUGUAAGAAUUAGGCCAUUAAAAUAUUUUGAAAGCCCUUCAGAACACUUAUGUUUAGUGUGUCAUUAACUGUAUUAAGGCAAUAAAAAUUACACUAAAUAUAAUUAUAUUCUUUUUUUAAAGA